GAAGGUAUAGCUCAGUGGUAGUAUGCAUGAGGUCCUGGGUUCAAUCCCCAGUACCUCCA
rnacentral:tRNA from 1 species